rnacentral:tRNA from 2 species
GCUCCUAUCGUCUAGCCCGGUCAAGGACAUAGGCCCUUCGAGCCUAGAACCCGGGUCCAAAUCCCGGCGGGAGCA